CAAAGUUGGAUGCUUUACCGACUGAGCCACCCAGGCGCCCCCCAUACAGACAUUUUCAAAGUUGAGUGCGUUCGUCAGAUACAGCAGGCAAGCAGCAGCCUGUGCCUCCACUGCCUGCGGAGAGCUGGUGCUAACAGAAGCCCAGAGUGGUGGUUUCGCUUACAUAAUUCCAGCAUGACUCUCCUAAGCCUCUGGACUCCAGAAGCUGCCCACAGAAGAGAAACAGAAUGAUGUCUCCAUUAAGAAUCACAGAGUUGUUAAAGGAUAAAAAGUUUCAAGACAUCCGGGCAUCAUGAAGACAUUGAUAUAGAGGGGAUUUUAGCACAUUGCUAUUUUGGCCAGAGAAGCAUUUCAACAACUUUCUGCAAACUAA